GGGGGUGACUGGCUUCGACGGGAAUCAAGAGGUCAACAGAGCGUGUCGAGCUCUCGGAGUCUCGUUAAACCUUCGGGAAAAGUUUAAUUGCCAACGAACCUUUGGCUCUCGCAGCUUAAUUGAC
rnacentral:tmRNA from 1 species